rnacentral:lncRNA from 1 species
GGUACAGAAGGCAGUGAGAUGGCUGGUCUGCUAUUCACCUCCAGCUGCUAAGCUCUGCUGUGAAACCUUCGCUCAUUUCAUGGAGAAGGGCAUCAACUGUGAAUUUGGAGAGCAGCUUUCCAGAGACCAGAAGGACAGGCAGCUAGCUGGCUUGCCCCCCCAGGAACCGGCAGUAAUCUUGGAAUUGUACAACAGCAUGAUUCAAUUCCCUACAGGGGCCAUGGCUGCCAAACAGCUCUGUGGCCCAGCGGGGCUGGCCCCGAAGUUUUUCUGGCUAACUAACCAAAGAUGCCUCAACCCGAGAGGAGCAUGCCAGAGUACCUGGAGUGGCUCAGGAGCAUCAUUCUAUCCCUUCAGCUCCUUCCAGUUGUCUUGCCCCAGAAGACCAGUUGGCAGUGUGCAUGCUCCUCUGUCCUCAAGUACAUCCAUCACCUGUUUGGAUCUCGUGCCAGCUAUCCCCUGCUCCACUGCCAGGUGGAGCACCUUCUGAGCCAAGCCUACUGUCACUGGUGGACCAGGGACUUUGGAGAGCAGGAGGAAUCUUCUGGAGCGGAGGUGCCCUGGGAUGUCAUCAUCUGUCUCUGUGUCCAGCAAUUACUACAGACCUGGAGCCCUCCCAGGCAGCCAGGAAUGCCAGGUGCAGACCCAUGAAGCUCCCCACCUCCUCCUCCAUUCUGAAGAUAGGAAGCUAAGAGGUGAAAUAAGCUUUGGCUUGUGUGGUAGUCACUUGUCAACUGACUGACUGACCGACUAACUACUCCAGAUGGAUGAGCCUGGGAAUGCUUGUGAGAAGCUCUAAUAUUCCCCCUCCCCCGCCUCGGCUCAAAAACUGGUUGUUGAGUGUGGCUUGGCACUGAUCUGUCUGUCCUCCUCCUCCUCCUUCUGUCUUCAGUUCCCUUUAUUCACUGGGCUCAUGUGUCUUCAAUUUUCUGAUUCCCUUGGGUGCAGUGGGAACUGCUGAGAUCAUGGAGGAACCUUAGAGGGACGGUUCAAACAUCCUUUCACUUAGACAUUCAAGCUAAACUUUCUUCCCUUCUUUUUUGUUUUCCUGUACUGGCCCUAAGGGCUGCUCAGAUGUGUGACUCAACUGAGUCCUUUCAGCCCCAGAGGAAGUGGGCCACUUUCAACACUGAUGAGACCCCCCUUGUUCCCAGACUGGGUCUCUGGGCCAUUUGAUGUUACCAGAGCACUCUUGGGUGCGUGGCAGAAAGAGAGUCUGGGACAGUGUCCGUCCCUGUUGAGCUAUUCCCACCAGGCCCAGAUUCUCACAAAUGCUGUCUCUGUUUGUUUGAGAAGCUGUGGAACACCAGGGGAGAGAGGUCCAGGUCUGCUGUUUCAAAGACAGUCUGAGGGAGUACUGCCUCCCGGACUCCUGGGAAAAUACUAGGCGGAAGCCCAGGACAGAGAUGGUGCAGCAUGAGAAAGAGCAGGCUUUGUAAGACUCUCAAUGGAAUGAUGCAAUGAAGUGUGCCUUCCUCAUCACCA